GGGCCCAACUGCCGUAAACGCUUUUUACAAUCCGGAAGCGAACGACAUCAUUUUUCCUUCAGGAAUUCUUCAAGGAGUGUUUUACAAGGAUGGCCUACCGGCAUCUGUGAAUCUUGGCGCCAUUGGGUUCGUGGUCGGUCACGAGCUGACACAUGGCUUCGACGAUUACGGUAG